GUGAGGUAGGAAUACGAAGAAAUAGUUUAAGAGCAGUGAGACUAGGAACACGGAGGAAACCCCGAGCUAUCGGUCUGCAUCUCUGUAACAAGAGGUGGAUAUUUGUCUCGGUGUUUCCCCAUGCCUCUCAUUCCUAUUGUUCUUAGGUUCUCCUUCCCCUUCCUUUUACCU
rfam:Triticum aestivum genome assembly, contig: Triticum_aestivum_CS42_TGACv1_scaffold_112371_2AS